rnacentral:rRNA from 1 species
AACGAACGCUGGCGGCAUGCCUAACACAUGCAAGUCGAACGAGACCUUCGGGUCUAGUGGCGCACGGGUGCGUAACGCGUGGGAAUCUGCUCUCUGGUUCGGAACAACAGUUGGAAACGACUGUUAAUACCGGAUAAUGACUUCGGUCCAAAGAUUUAUCGCCUGAGGAUGAGCCCGCGUAGGAUUAGCUUGUUGGUGAGGUAAAAGCUCACCAAGGCGACGAUCCUUAGCUGGUCUGAGAGGAUGAUCAGCCACACUGGGACUGAGACACGGCCCAGACUCCUACGGGAGGCAGCAGUGGGGAAUAUUGGACAAUGGGCGAAAGCCUGAUCCAGCAAUGCCGCGUGAGUGAUGAAGGCCUUAGGGUUGUAAAGCUCUUUUACCCGGGAUGAUAAUGACAGUACCGGGAGAAUAAGCCCCGGCUAACUCCGUGCCAGCCGCCGCCGUAA